GCUUCUGGUUGUGAAAUAAUACAUAACAAAACAAAAUGCUUUUGUGUGGAUGGGUUUGAACUAGUAGACAAUGGCACGCAAUGCAAAGAUGUGGACGAAUGCACCAGAGGUGUGUGCUCUCAGGGCUGCACAAACACAAAUGGGAGUUUUCACUGUUCCUGUUUUGCUGGGUUCGAACUUGUUGACCGUGCAAAUUGUGAAGAAUGUAGAACCAACAUGUGGGGUGUUAACUGUUCGAACGAAUGCCAGUGUACCGGUCAAGGGGCAGAUUAUUGUGAUCCGGUGAAAGGCUG